AUUGAACGCUGGCGGCAUGCCUAACACAUGCAAGUCGAACGGAGGUAGGGGCAACUCUACUUCAGUGGCGGACGGGUGAGGAAUGCGUCGGAAUCUACCCUAUGGUGGGGGAUAACACAGGGGAAACUUGUGCUAAUACCGCAUAAUGUCGAGAGACCAAAAGCAGGGGACCGCAAGGCCUUGCGCGAUAGGAUGAGCCGACGCCCGAUUAGCUAGUUGGUAGGGUAAAGGCCUACCAAGGCGACGAUCGGUAGCUGGUCUGAGAGGAUGAUCAGCCACACUGGGACUGAGACACGGCCCAGACUCCUACGGGAGGCAGCAGUGGGGAAUAUUGGACAAUGGGCGCAAGCCUGAUCCAGCAAUGCCGCGUGUGUGAAGAAGGCCUGCGGGUUGUAAAGCACUUUUGUUCGGGAAGAAAUCAUGCUGGUUAAUACCUGGUAUGGAUGACGGUACCGAAAGAAUAAGCACCGGCUAAACUUCGUGCCAGCAGCCGCGGUAAU
rnacentral:rRNA from 1 species